rfam:Leptolyngbya valderiana BDT 20041 contig00392, whole genome shotgun sequence.
UGCCGGGUAGACGAAUCGGUGAAGUCGCCUGUCUCUGAAACAGGAAAGUGUAGGUUCGAGUCCUACCCCGGCAG